rnacentral:rRNA from 1 species
AGCAGUAGCCGCGGUAAGACAGAGGAUGCAAGCGUUAUCCGGAAUCAUUGGGUUUAAAGGGUCCGUAGGCGGUCUUGUAAGUCAGUGGUGAAAGCCCAUCGCUCAACGGUGGAACGGCCAUUGAUACUGCAGGACUUGAAUUAUUGGGAAGUAACUAGAAUAUGUAGUGUAGCGGUGAAAUGCUUAGAGAUUACAUGGAAUACCAAUUGCGAAGGCAGGUUACUACCAAUUGAUUGACGCUGAUGGACGAAAGCGUGGGUAGCGAACAGGAUUAGAUACCCGAGUAGUCCCUGUCUCUUAUAA